rnacentral:rRNA from 1 species
GUUUCCUACGGGGCGCAGCAGUCGAGAAUCAUUCACAAUGGGGGAAACCCUGAUGGAGCAACGCCGCGUGGGUGAAGAAGGUCUUCGGAUCGUAAAACCCUGUUGUUAGAGAAGAAAGUGCGUGAGAGUAACUGUUCACGUUUCGACGGUAUCUAACCAGAAAGCCACGGCUAACUACGUGCCAGCAGCCGCGGUAAUACGUAGGUGGCAAGCGUUAUCCGGAUUUAUUGGGCGUAAAGGGAACGCAGGCGGUCUUUUAUGUCUGAUGUGAAAGCCUUCGGCUUAACCGGAGAAG